rfam:Asian citrus Psyllid, Diaphorina citri - Florida Strain, whole genome shotgun sequence.
GUUUCGGUGGUGUAGUGGUCGCUCGCUUGGUAAUCAGGAGGGCGUGGGUUCAAUCCCAACCGAAACA